rfam:Triticum urartu cultivar G1812 contig471990, whole genome shotgun sequence.
UUGUUACUCCCUCCGUUCUGAAUUACUUGUAGAAAAAAUGGAUGUAUCUAGACAUAUUUUAGUUCUAGAUACAUCCAUUUUUGAGACAAGUAAUUCGGAACGGAGGGAGUACCUC